GUGAGUAACACGUGAGCAACCUGCCCUGGACUCUGGGAUAAGCGCUGGAAACGGCGUCUAAUACUGGAUAUGAGCCUCUUCCGCAUGGUGGGGGUUGGAAAGAUUUUUCGGUCUGGGAUGGGCUCGCGGCCUAUCAGCUUGUUGGUGAGGUAAUGGCUCACCAAGGCGUCGACGGGUAGCCGGCCUGAGAGGGUGACCGGCCACACUGGGACUGAGACACGGCCCAGACUCCUACGGGAGGCAGCAGUGGGGAAUAUUGCACAAUGGGCGGAAGCCUGAUGCAGCAACGCCGCGUGAGGGAUGACGGCCUUCGGGUUGUAAACCUCUUUUAGCAGGGAAGAAGCGAGAGUGACGGUACCUGCAGAAAAAGCGCCGGCUAACUACGUGCCAGCAGCCGCGGUAAUACGUAGGGCGCAAGCGUUAUCCGGAAUUAUUGGGCGUAAAGAGCUCGUAGGCGGUUUGUCGCGUCUGCUGUGAAAUCCCGAGGCUCAACCUCGGGCCUGCAGUGGGUACGGGCAGACUAGAGUGCGGUAGGGGAGAUUGGAAUUCCUGGUGUAGCGGUGGAAUGCGCAGAUAUCAGGAGGAACACCGAUGGCGAAGGCAGAUCUCUGGGCCGUAACUGACGCUGAGGAGCGAAAGGGUGGGGAGCAAACAGGCUUAGAUACCCUGGUAGUCCACCCCGUAAACGUUGGGAACUAGUUGUGGGGACCAUUCCACGGUUUCCGUGACGCAGCUAACGCA
rnacentral:rRNA from 1 species